ACAGGACAAAGAUACAGUAAGAAAAAAAAAGUUAUUUCCCUUGAUAUUGGUAUAAUAUCAAUAUGUUUCCCCAAUUUCUCUCAUCUAUGAUGGAAAGACUAGACACACCCUUUUGCAAGUCAUCAUGGUCCUCAAGGCAGACUGAGCCCAUUUUUACCGACGCUGAGGUCGGUGCGAGAAAUACAGUGGAAUGUUCCUUAUUAAUGUCACCGCGAAUUGGAAGCUGUAAAUCGGAAGCCAACUUCAGCGUCGUCAACUUUUAUUUCUAUGGAUCUUUUCAGAUUUAAUCGCAGUUUUCUUCACUUCACGCUACUUUUAUCCACGUUCUGCGUCGUUUCCUUCUGACAUGCUCCUGUGAUGAUGAAGGGUGGCAGAAACACAGCUGAUCAAUGCUGCUCUCUAACAAAAAUGACUCGAAGUGGCAGUGAAUUACUUGAGGUCUUCCAGGGGCGAUGGGUCUGACAAGGCAGGUCUUCGCCAUCAUCAUCAUCAUCAUCAUCAUCAUCAUCAGCAUCAGCAUCAGCAUCAGCAUCAGCAUCAUUAUCAUCUCUUCGUCUUAUCUUUUAGAGGUUAAUUGUAAAAAAAAUAAAGGGAACAGCACUGUCAGCACACACAGGGAGGGCAAGCAAUUAGUACCAAUGUGCUAGCAUGCUGGAAAAAGUGAAGUUCCUGUGGGGAUUUUCACCUUUAUAAUGAGACAAAAGGGAAUCAGCUUAAACACCAACACCUUAAUGACAAAAACAGAACAGUUUAAGUUCAGAUCAUAUUUUAUUACCAACUCAUAGAAAACAGAAUAUAAAAAUAUACACGCAGGUGCAAACACAACUACAAGUCUUUCUUUUUGCAUCAAAACAAGACGUUCAAUAAAUAUUUGUUUAAUCUGGAGCUGCAGGAAAAAGUCCUCAAAACUAUAGCAGCUGCUUAUCACAACACACACACACAACAUAGCUAUUGCAGAUAUGCCUGAGAUUCACCUUAAAUGCAUAGCAAAGGCUUGAAGCUGAAAGCUAAUCUUUAGUCUUUGUUUAUGAUCCUGCCAUGACUUCUAAAAAGCUGAGCUAAACUCAGGGGUUUAACAUGGUUUUAGUGCUGACGUGGAGAAGAAAAUUAUAGUGUAAUUGUAAAUUCUCAUAAACGAUGUUUUUCUUCUGGUCCGUCUGGGCGGUUCUAGCCCUUGAAGUUCUGAAAGACCUCAGCAGCAUCCAGCCAGGACCCGAAGCAGGCCAGGCCUCUGUCUCGGAUCUGCUUCCUGCCCUUAUCGGUGAUCACGUCGCCGUUUUCCUUCACAAUCACCAGUUUUGGGACCGCUGUGAUGUUGUAGCGCUGCUUCAACUCACUGAUUGGACAAAGGAGAAACAGAGGCCCACACAGAAAUUUUGGAAGGAGUUCAUUGGAUUUAAUAUUAUUCAUAUCUUCAAAGAUUUGUUUUAUCUUAAACUCAAAAAGGCAUAUUAAAAUUUUUGCAAUUAAUGUAUUAAUACUUCUGGUGAAUUCUAUAUUCAUAAAUGUAAAUUUAAUCAUAAAACAACAUAUUUUCCUUAAUUUCUUAUGUACAUUUUUAUAAAAUCAAUAUUACACUAAUAGGUUCUCAAAACUAUUCAUAUUCGUGAAUCUUUGUUUUGAUAUUUGUUUUUGUGGCUGUGUGCUGCAUUGUUUUUUUUCUUUUGCGCUCUUUUCAAAGGUUAAGUCAGCACAUUGGAAAAAAAAAGAUUUUCAGGUAAAAUGCUUUAAAUCACUCUAUUAAAAAAGUUGAGCUGCAAUAUUCAAGCUUUACUUUCAGGUAUAUUUAUUCCCAAUAAUCUUUUUUUUUUUUUGUAGUUUUACAUCAUUUUUAAUUUUCUUUUAAAGCUUUUUGUUAGAUCUGACCAAUGCAAACCCACUGCAAAUAAUGUUUGAUAUAUCCUUAGACAAUUCAUUUCUAUUGUUUGUCUAGUUUUUGUAUUAUUUCUGGUUUGAUGGCAUGAAAUAAAUCAUUUCCAAAUCCAA